AAGUCGUAACAAGGUUUCCGUAGGUGAACCUGCGGAAGGAUCAUUCACAAUGAGUGUUUAAUGGCACUCUAAAUCCAUUACCCACCUUGUGUGCAAUGUCGAGGGGGAGAGGAGGGAACAUUCUUUUCUUCUCCCCUUUUCAUACAUACCAAAAAACUUUUAAUUAUCAGUCUACAUCUAUUUAGAGUAUAAAAAACUCGAAAUACAACUUUCAACAACGGAUCUCUUGGCUCUC
rnacentral:misc_RNA from 1 species